GGGUUGUGAGGUUAAGCGACUAAGCGUACACGGUGGAUGCCCUGGCAGUCAGAGGCGAUGAAGGGCGUGCUAAUCUGCGAUAAGCGCCGGUAAGGUGAUAUGAACCGUUAUAACCGGCGAUACCCGAAUGGGGAAACCCAGUGUGAUUCGUCACACUAUCAUUAACUGAAUCCAUAGGUUAAUGAGGCGAACCGGGGGAACUGAAACAUCUAAGUACCCCGAGGAAAAGAAAUCAACCGAGAUUCCCCCAGUAGCGGCGAGCGAACGGGGAGGAGCCCAGAGCCUGAAUCAGCAUGUGUGUUAGUGGAAGCGUCUGGAAAGGCGCGCGAUACAGGGUGACAGCCCCGUACACAAAAGCGCAUGUGCUGUGAGCUCGAUGAGUAGGGCGGGACACGUGGUAUCCUGUCUGAAUAUGGGGGGACCAUCCUCCAAGGCUAAAUACUCCUGACUGACCGAUAGUGAACCAGUACCGUGAGGGAAAGGCGAAAAGAACCCCGGCGAGGGGAGUGAAAAAGAACCUGAAACCGUGUACGUACAAGCAGUGGGAGCACCCUUCGGGGUGUGACUGCGUACCUUUUGUAUAAUGGGUCAGCGACUUAUAUUCUGUAGCAAGGUUAACCGUAUAGGGGAGCCGGAGGGAAACCGAGUCUUAAUUGGGCGUUAAGUUGCAGGGUAUAGACCCGAAACCCGGUGAUCUAGCCAUGGGCAGGUUGAAGGUUGGGUAACACUAACUGGAGGACCGAACCGACUAAUGUUGAAAAAUUAGCGGAUGACCUGUGGCUGGGGGUGAAAGGCCAAUCAAACCGGGAGAUAGCUGGUUCUCCCCGAAAGCUAUUUAGGUAGCGCCUCGUGAAUUCAUCUCCGGGGGUAGAGCACUGUUUCGGCUAGGGGGCCAUCCCGGCUUACCAACCCGAUGCAAACUGCGAAUACCGGAGAAUGUUAUCACGGGAGACACACGGCGGGUGCUAACGUCCGUCGUGAAGAGGGAAACAACCCAGACCGCCAGCUAAGGUCCCAAAGUCAUGGUUAAGUGGGAAACGAUGUGGGAAGGCCCAGACAGCCAGGAUGUUGGCUUAGAAGCAGCCAUCAUUUAAAGAAAGCGUAAUAGCUCACUGGUCGAGUCGGCCUGCGCGGAAGAUGUAACGGGGCUAAACCAUGCACCGAAGCUGCGGCAGCGAACGUAUCACCCAAGACAACUUUACGGAGUUGACGAUUGACGGAGCGAAGCGACGUCAAAGCGUUCAUUAAAGUCGAGUUGGCUUAGGGAUACGUUCGUUGGGUAGGGGAGCGUUCUGUAAGCCUGUGAAGGUGUGUCGUGAGGCAUGCUGGAGGUAUCAGAAGUGCGAAUGCUGACAUAAGUAACGAUAAAGCGGGUGAAAAGCCCGCUCGCCGGAAGACCAAGGGUUCCUGUCCAACGUUAAUCGGGGCAGGGUGAGUCGACCCCUAAGGCGAGGCCGAAAGGCGUAGUCGAUGGGAAACGGGUUAAUAUUCCCGUACUUGGUGUUACUGCGAAGGGGGGACGGAGAAGGCUAUGUUGGCCGGGCGACGGUUGUCCCGGUUUAAGCGUGUAGGUGUGUGUUCCAGGUAAAUCCGGUUCACUUUAACACUGAGGCGUGACGACGAGGCACUACGGUGCUGAAGCAACAAAUGCCCUGCUUCCAGGAAAAGCCUCUAAGCAUCAGGUAACACGAAAUCGUACCCCAAACCGACACAGGUGGUCAGGUAGAGAAUACCAAGGCGCUUGAGAGAACUCGGGUGAAGGAACUAGGCAAAAUGGUGCCGUAACUUCGGGAGAAGGCACGCUGACACGUAGGUGAAGUGAUUUACUCAUGGAGCUGAAGUCAGUCGAAGAUACCAGCUGGCUGCAACUGUUUAUUAAAAACACAGCACUGUGCAAACACGAAAGUGGACGUAUACGGUGUGACGCCUGCCCGGUGCCGGAAGGUUAAUUGAUGGGGUCAGCGCAAGCGAAGCUCCUGAUCGAAGCCCCGGUAAACGGCGGCCGUAACUAUAACGGUCCUAAGGUAGCGAAAUUCCUUGUCGGGUAAGUUCCGACCUGCACGAAUGGCGUAAUGAUGGCCAGGCUGUCUCCACCCGAGACUCAGUGAAAUUGAACUCGCUGUGAAGAUGCAGUGUACCCGCGGCAAGACGGAAAGACCCCGUGAACCUUUACUAUAGCUUGACACUGAACAUUGAGCCUUGAUGUGUAGGAUAGGUGGGAGGCUUUGAAGUGUGGACGCCAGUCUGCAUGGAGCCGACCUUGAAAUACCACCCUUUAAUGUUUGAUGUUCUAACGUGGACCCGUUACCCGGGUUGCGGACAGUGUCUGGUGGGUAGUUUGACUGGGGCGGUCUCCUCCUAAAGAGUAACGGAGGAGCACGAAGGUUGGCUAAUCCUGGUCGGACAUCAGGAGGUUAGUGCAAUGGCAUAAGCCAGCUUGACUGCGAGCGUGACGGCGCGAGCAGGUGCGAAAGCAGGUCAUAGUGAUCCGGUGGUUCUGAAUGGAAGGGCCAUCGCUCAACGGAUAAAAGGUACUCCGGGGAUAACAGGCUGAUACCGCCCAAGAGUUCAUAUCGACGGCGGUGUUUGGCACCUCGAUGUCGGCUCAUCACAUCCUGGGGCUGAAGUAGGUCCCAAGGGUAUGGCUGUUCGCCAUUUAAAGUGGUACGCGAGCUGGGUUUAGAACGUCGUGAGACAGUUCGGUCCCUAUCUGCCGUGGGCGCUGGAGAACUGAGGGGGGCUGCUCCUAGUACGAGAGGACCGGAGUGGACGCAUCACUGGUGUUCGGGUUGUCAUGCCAAUGGCACUGCCCGGUAGCUAAAUGCGGAAGAGAUAAGUGCUGAAAGCAUCUAAGCACGAAACUUGCCCCGAGAUGAGUUCUCCCUGAGACUUAGAGUCUCCUGAAGGAACGUUGAAGACGACGACGUUGAUAGGCCGGGUGUGUAAGCGCAGCGAUGCGUUGAGCUAACCGGUACUAAUGAACCGUGAGGCUUAACCUUACAACGCCGAAG
rnacentral:rRNA from 1 species